rnacentral:rRNA from 1 species
GACAGAGGUCCCGAGCGUUAGGCGGAAUCACUGGGCUUAAAGCGUGUGUAGGCGGAUCGUUAAGUACCUUGUGAAAUCCCACGGCUUAACCGUGGAACUGCUGGGUAUACUGGCGAUCUUGAGCCACCUAGGGGCAACCGGAACAAAUGGUGGAGCGGUGAAAUGCGUAGAUAUCAUUUGGAACGCCAAUGGUGAAAACAGGUUGCUGGGGGUGUGCUGACGCUGAGACACGAAAGCCAGGGGAGCGAACGGG